rnacentral:tRNA from 1 species
GGGCGGUUAGCUCAAUGGUUAGAGCAGCCCGCUCAUAACGGGCCGGUUGGGGGUUCAAGUCCCUCACCGCCUACCA